rnacentral:rRNA from 1 species
AGGUAAGCUACUAAGAGCGAAUGGUGGAUGCCUUGACUGGUAAAGGCGAUGAAGGACGUACUAGACUGCGAUAAGCUACGGGGAGCUGUCAAGAAGCUUUGAUCCGUAGAUUUCCGAAUGGGGCAACCCAAUGUAUAGAGAUAUACAUUACCUAUAUAGGAGCGAACGAGGGGAAUUGAAACAUCUUAGUACCCUCAGGAAAAGAAAUCAAUAGAGAUUGCGUCAGUAGCGGCGAGCGAAAGCGCAAGAGGGCAAACCCAGUGCUUGCACUGGGGGUUGUAGGACUGCAAUGUGCAAGAGGUAAGUUUAGCAGAACAUUCUGGAAAGUAUAACCAUAGAGGGUGAUAGUCCCGUAUGCGAAAAACAAACCUUAGCUAGCAGUAUCCUGAGUAGGGCGGGACACGAGGAAUCCUGUCUGAAUCCGGGUCGACCACGAUCCAACCCUAAAUACUAAUACCAGAUCGAUAGUGCACAAGUACCGUGAGGGAAAGGUGAAAAGAACUGAGGUGAUCAGAGUGAAAUAGAACCUGAAACCAUUUGCUUACAAUCAUUCAGAGCCCUAUGUAGCAAUACAGGGUGAUGGACUGCCUUUUGCAUAAUGAGCCUGCGAGUUGUGGUGUCUGGCAAGGUUAAGCAAACGCGAAGCCGUAGCGAAAGCGAGUCUGAAUAGGGCGCUUAGUCAGAUGCUGCAGACCCGAAACGAAGUGAUCUAUCCAUGAGCAAGUUGAAGCUAGUGUAAGAACUAGUGGAGGACUGAACCCAUAGGCGUUGAAAAGCCCCGGGAUGACUUGUGGAUAGGGGUGAAAGGCCAAUCAAACUUCGUGAUAGCUGGUUCUCUCCGAAAUAUAUUUAGGUAUAGCGUUGUGUCGUAAUAUAAGGGGGUAGAGCACUGAAUGGGCUAGGGCAUACACCAAUGUACCAAACCCUAUCAAACUCCGAAUACCUUAUAUGUAAUCACAGCAGUCAGGCGGCGAGUGAUAAAAUCCGUCGUCAAGAGGGAAACAACCCAGACUACCAGCUAAGGUCCCUAAGUCUUACUUAAGUGGAAAACGAUGUGAAGUUACUUAAACAACCAGGAGGUUGGCUUAGAAGCAGCCAUCCUUUAAAGAAAGCGUAAUAGCUCACUGGUCUAGUGAUUUUGCGCGGAAAAUAUAACGGGGCUAAAGUAAGUACCGAAGCUGUAGACUUAGUUUACUAAGUGGUAGGAGAGCGUUCUAUUUGCGUCGAAGGUAUACCGGUAAGGAGUGCUGGAGCGAAUAGAAGUGAGCAUGCAGGCAUGAGUAGCGAUAAUUAAUGUGAGAAUCAUUAACGCCGUAAACCCAAGGUUUCCUACGCGAUGCUCGUCAUCGUAGGGUUAGUCGGGUCCUAAGUCGAGUCCGAAAGGGGUAGACGAUGGCAAAUUGGUUAAUAUUCCAAUACCAACAUUAGUGUGCGAUGGAAGGACG